UGCUAAUCAUCAUGGUGGGCUUCCCCGGGACUGCCCCUGUGGUGGUGAUGACCUUGGGCUUGCUGCGGGCACCAUCUCCCUUGGUUGUGUAGGCAGCGACUGUGACGGAGUAGGUGGUUUCCGGCAGCAGGCCUCCAAUGACCGUCUCCUGUGCUUCCGACAGCAUGACGUCCUUGAUGACGGGCUGCCCGCGGGGCUCAUUGUUUUCCAGCUUCACGUAGG
rnacentral:lncRNA from 1 species